AUUAUUAAUGCCUUUGUGCUUCCAAAUGGACAAAUGUUUGUUUUCAGUGGAUUGUUAAAUAGUGUAACCGAUAUUGAUCAACUUUCUUUCCUUCUGGGCCAUGAAAUAGCACAUGCAGUACUUGGACAUGCUGCAGAAAAGGCUGGCAUGGUUCACUUUUUGGAUUUCCUAGGUAUGAUUUUCCUCACAAUGAUUUGGGCCAUUUGUCCUCGAGAUAGUUUGGCACUUUUGGGCCAGUGGAUACAGUCUAAAUUGCAGGAGUAUAUGUUUAAUAGACCAUACAGCAGAAAAUUGGAGGCUGAAGCUGACAAAAUUGUACUACUGCUUGCUGCAAAGGCUUGUGUAGACAUAAGAGCCAGUUCAGUGUUUUGGCAGCAAAUGGAGUUUGUCGAUAGCCUGCAUGGCCUACCCAAGAUGCCAGAAUGGUCAUCUACACACCCUUCUCAUGGCAAUCGAGUUGAACAUCUGGAUAGACUUAUACCUCAGGCUCUCAAAAUUAGAGAGAUGUGUAAUUGCCCACCACUGUCUAAACCAGACCCUCGAUUACUAUUCAAAUUCAGCAUGGAGCAUUUUCUUGAAGAAUCAGAGAAAGAAGACCUAAAUAUCACAAAGAAACAGAAAAUGGAUACUCUUCCCAUUCAAAAACAGGAGCAAAUACCAUUAACAUACGUAGUUGAGAAAAGAACUGGCAGUUGAAUUAAAAUUUAUGAGACACAAGAUAUAUGAAGAAUGUUGCAGUCCUUAUCAUUUUAUGUUACUUUUAAAAAAAUGAUGUUUGAAGUGAAAAAAAAAGGAUAUUCAGGGUCAAAUCAUGUAUAUUACAGAUACUAUCUAAAUUCUUCCAGAAUUUAUUUUUCAUGAAAUAUUGAUAUAUUUUAAUCUAUGUUAAAAUAUCUUGAAUGAGGAAAAUGUCACAGAAUAAAUUUAUAUUACACA